rnacentral:rRNA from 1 species
UGGGGAAUAUUGGUCAAUGGGCGAAAGCCUGAACCAGCAAUGCCGCGUGAGUGAUGAAGGCCUUCGGGUUGUAAAGCUCUGUCGGGAGGGACGAAAAAGCUCGGGUAACGCCGAGACUUGACGGUACCUCCAAAGGAAGCACCGGCUAACUCUGUGCCAGCAGCCGCGGUAAUACAGAGGGUGCAAGCGUUGUUCGGAAUUACUGGGCGUAAAGCGCGUGUAGGCUGCAAUGUAAGUCGGAUGUGAAAGCCCUUGGCUUAACCAAGGAAGUGCAUCUGAUACUGCGUCGCUUGAGUGUCGGAGGGGAUGGCGGAAUUCCCGGUGUAGAGGUGAAAUUCGUAGAUAUCGGGAGGAACACCUGUGGCGAAGGCGGCCAUCUGGACGAUAACUGACGCUGAGACGCGAAAGCGUGGGUAGCAAACAG